rnacentral:rRNA from 1 species
AUUGAACGCUGGCGGCAGGCCUAACACAUGCAAGUCGAGCGGAUCGCCGGACGGGUGAGUAAUGCCUAGGACUCUGCAUCGUCGUGGGGGAUAACGUCCGGUAACGGGCGCUAAUACCGCUUCCUCUCACAUUAGCCUAGGUCGGAUUAGCUAGUUGGUGGGGUAAAGGCCUACCAAGGCGACGAUCCGUAACUGGUCUGAGAGGAUGAUCAGUCACACUGGAACUGAGACACGGUCCAGACUCCUACGGGAGGCAGCAGUGGGGAAUAUUGGACAAUGGGCGAAAGCCUGAUGCAGCCAUGCCGCGUGUGUGAAGAAGGUCUUCGGAUUGUAAAGCACUUUAAGUUGGGAGGCGUUACCAACAGAAUAAGCACCGGCUAACUUCGUGCCAGCAGCCGCGGUAAUUC